rnacentral:rRNA from 1 species
UACGUAGGGGGCAAGCGUUGUCCGGAAUCAUUGGGCGUAAAGAGCGUGUAGGCGGCUCGGUAAGUCUGCUGUGAAAGUCCAGGGCUCAACCCUGGAAUGCCGGUGGAUACUGUCGAGCUAGAGUCCGGAAGAGGCGAGUGGAAUUCCUGGUGUAGCGGUGAAAUGCGCAGAUAUCAGGAGGAACACCAAUGGCGAAGGCAGCUCGCUGGGACGGUAC